rnacentral:lncRNA from 1 species
CGGGAAGAUGGAACAGGCAUUCCUAAUACUUGGCACGCAGAUAACCUACAGUUGUACUUUUAAACAAUUAAGUAGGAUUAUAAUUACUCUCGUAAUAGUUUGAACUAUGUAACUAAUACGUUAUUUAGUUAGCUAUCAAAACACUUGAAAAUACAUUCCAUAUAUUGAUUUAAAAAGAAUUACAGAGGAAUGUAAAUUACAACAGUUAAAAGGAUAAGAUAGAGAAUUUAAUCUAUUUUAGGAGGGGGGGG